AAGGAUUCGCAGAAAUAGUAAACGAUUAGAUUCGCAUUAGCUGUUUCGAGGAGAUUUCAAAGGAAUCUUACAGUCAACGGUGAGUCCUAAGAUUAAACGUUACUUAGAAACACUGGGCAUCAGGAUCACAAGCCUGUUGUGAAAGCGUUUACGCGGAUUCCCAAAUCUUUCUAAGUCUUUUGUACAGAGCCAAGGACCGGGAAGAACUGCAUAUGUGCAAAGCGCAGAAGCCUCCAAAUCGUAGCGAAUGGUAAAAUACGGUGGGAAAGUCACGAGCCCGGAAACUGUACACCCAGAUGAAUGAUGAGACUAACGUUAAUGCGCACCUCUGGCAGCUUCCGGGGCUACUGUUCAUCACUGCCCAGUACAAGUUUUAUGUUCCUGAGGAAGUAAAGAAGCAGAUAUUUUCAAAGUUUGCCAAGAAAUACCUGAUUUGGCAAGCGGUCUGCUUAUGUGGAAAAAGGAAUGCACCGCUUGUGACUACCGGGACUGUAACCGAAAAGAUCUACCUCAAUGAGUGUCUACAGAAGCAGUUACUUCCUCUGUUGAAACAACACGAAGGACCUACGAUCUUCUGGCUGAAUCUAGGUUUACGCCAUUAUUCAAAUUAUGUCCAGGAGUGGCAGCAAGUCAAUGGGGUCACUUUCUUACCCAGGGACAUAAACUCCCCCAACGCACGCACCCCAAUCUGAAAGAAUUUUCUCAUAACUUUAACAUUCCUGCACUUUGGAUUCUUGAGAAAUGAAUGAGUAGGUUUUCCAUAUGCGAUUCCCACAGAUUAUAUCUGUAGCGCGGAAACGAUUGCUAUCAAAAUUCCAUCACUGAACUAUCCAUGCCAAAACUGGUGUCGUGGAAUCACCGUUUUGAGGUCAAUUUUGUCCGAUUUAAGGCAUGUUUUUUUUUCAAAGAUGGGUACGAAAAUGCUAUUACGUGGACAAACUCUUAUGAUUUUGAUAUUUGGCUUUAAAACAAAAGUUCCAAGUGGGGCCUUUGCUGUCUCAUAAGGUGAAAUAGGUCUCAAAUCGGGGAAUUUAUUUAAAUUUUUUGUUGCACUGUGUUAUCUGAGAAUUUAAAUUUAGGAUUCUCUGUGUGUUAGUUAUUCAGAAUAUAGCUCAAAAAUUCUUACAUUUGGAUUCUGUCUGCGUUGUGGAAAUAAUUUCGCUCACGAUUUCGUCACCGAGUUCUCUAUGAGGAUCCAUGCCAAACGCAAGAAAAGCUUGCUUCGGUAUUAAAUUUAUGAUUCUAUGUUUUAUACGACUGAAAAUUAUUCUAUUUACGAUUGAAGCUUCAAAAGUACGAUAUUAUAACACUUUUGCGAUAGUCUGAAAUAUCAGACUUUGUCAGAUUUAGGAAAUGAUAUUAACGCAUACAAACAGACAUAAAAUUUCGAACAAGUUUUCACUAAAAACAUCAUUCCGAAUUGGUAACCACAAAACAUGUAUGCGAUUGCAUGGCAUUGCGCGAUGACUGUUGUUUAAUUGAAAAUUUCAAAACGAAAGUUUCUUUUGCCUUGGCUUCUAUGUUUGAUUUUUAGAUGUAGUUUGAUGCAAAAACAAAUUUUCUCGAGUUUGGACACAUUUCAGCUUGAGGGGCAACAAUGCACAGUAGUACAGAAAUGCAAUCUAGCGGAACGAAAUUGAUAACUCCGGAUCGUGUUGGUUUUUUGAGAUAGUGUUUCUGGCAACGUUCAUGAGAAUAAUCAAGGAAUAUUUUUGUAUGAAAAUAUUUGAACUAAACGUGUAAUAAACUAGUACUAAAUUUUUUUUCUUCAUUUUGUCCAGUUGAGAUGGAUGUUUUUUUUUCAAUGUUGUUUUUUAGCCAAUAAUAUGAAACUUCUGCGAAGUCGAAACUAUUCAAGAAGCCACAGUGUAUGAAAUAUUAAUUUUUUUGGAUUUUUAUUUUUUUUUUCAAACUGUACUAACAAACUUUAUGAGUUUGUUAUUAUAAAUCUUUUCAACUAUGAGUUUUUCCGUAGAAAUAAGGAUGGGUAUGGCCUGUAGUUUUUAAGAUAUCUAAAAGGAAAUUUUUGGCCAGGACGAGUCAAAACAUAAAAGCUUCGCUCAAGUUAUGAGACAAAAUCAUCGCAUCUUCGAGAAAGUUGAAGUUAUUAAACAAUCAAAUCAAACUAAAGCGUUGCCACCAACUACUGGUCAGGGGGGAAAUCUUCAUUAUAAAAAUUAGUUUGACUCACAAUAUAUAUUGAAGCUUGUUUGAGAAAAAAAUUCUCCCGCAAAAAAAAAAAAACAAACUCUUGAAAAAAUCGGAAAUAAAAGAAACUUUAAACUGAAUCCGAUAUUCGAUUUACCCGCUUGGUCAAGAAAGGCCAAUUAAGACAAACAAAUUCUUUCCAGAUUUGCAACAGCACGAGUUAUGGCACUUACAGGUUAUACAACCGGUUCGAUUUCCGGGAAACUCAUCGAUUGGAAGUGCUAUGUUUUCCGACACACACAAAAUGCAUCGCAGUAGGGAAAGCACAGAAGACGGGCUCGAACCGGGAAGCGGCACCGAAAGCGAGGGAUUCGUCGAGCAAGUGAGGAGAAUGCAAACAACAAGGAGAGAGCAGCUGGUUUUGUGACGGAGGAAGAGGUGCAUUGGCACGAGAAUGACGAAUUUGCGCUGAAAUGAUAUUUUGCCAACCUCGGACUCAGCCCCGCCUGUGCCGCGGUUUAUCGAAAAAGGUUGCCCUUGAAUCGUGUACUGCCACCGUCGUCAAUGUUAUAACACAGGCUGCGGAUUUGGUUAUACUGUUUGGCUAAGCAACUGGCAAAAAACUUUUCCUAAGCUGAUUAACACGAAGUUUUUUUGCUGUAAAAGAUACUUUUACUAAUGAGAUGUUUGAUAUCUUUUAAGGAUGAUAUUGCUGCUUUAAUUAGCUGUCCUAAAAGGGAGUGCGCGGUUCCACUUCCACGCGAAAGGCAAGUCAAAGAGGUUAAGGUGUUUUUGGGUUGGAAUUCGGCUCACUUGGAUGCUGCCAAAAGUGACGGGAGAGAGAGAACACGCGCGACUGAAAAUAAAACUAGAAAACGAAUGCGCAGGCGAAAAGACGGACCGACGAAGGUGUUAUAAAAAUAAAAUUACAUCAACAUUGCAAAACUAGGAUAUGCAACUUGAAAUUAGGGUUUUUGCGCUUCUCUUCGGUCGAUGCUGCAACGAUGGUGGUGAGGUUUUUUUCCCCUGGGAGAAGGAAAGAGGCUGCGCGGAAUACAUAAAUAGAGGUGUCUUGUGACUGCAUAUCGACAAUUAUUUCUUGGUCUUCGUUGUCUGUCGUGGUAACGAAACAGCAGCGUUAUGCAUGGCCGGGUGCACUGUUAGUUGCACCCCGAUUCAAAUGGUCAUUUAGAUUGGAACUCGUUCGAAAGCUGGCUCGAAGUUGCUUGGGAUGGGAUCUAAAGUUUUGCGGUCAGCAGCCGAUAAAAUCCGCAAACACUUUGGCCGGAAACUGCACCGCAUCAGGCAAUAUUUGAAAAACCAAAUGGUCAGUGUUGCUUUUUAUUGCUGAACGCUCGCUGGAUUGAUGUAGUUGUUUUUAUUAAAUAAAAAAAAUCUUCAAGUUUUCAGAAUAA